UGGGGUAUAGCUCAGAGGUAGAGCACUUGCCUACCAUGCAUGAGGCCCUGGGUUUGAUCCCCAGCACUUAAA
rnacentral:tRNA from 1 species